GGUUUGUGUGGCCUUGCGCUUUUUUUCUAGUGGAGCCUUCCUGUACUCAGUGGGGGAUGCAGAACAGCUGAACAAGGCCACAAUUUGCCGCACAAUAAGGAGUGUGUGUCUGGCUAUCAAAGCAUUAGCAGAUGUCUUCAUCUCCUUCCCUGGCCACAGAAGACUCUGUGACAUCAAAGAGGAGUUCUAUAGGAUUGCAGAUGGUCUGCAAUGCUGACUGUGUGAUCAGCAAUGUUGUGGCAAAAUGGCCUGGCUCAGUCCAUGACUCCAGAAUCUUUCGGGCCUCUGAAAUCUAUCAGUGCCUAUCACAAGGUGAAUUCUCUGGUGUGCUGCUGGGAGACAGGGGUAUGGCUGCCAGCCUUUUCUCCUGACACCUUUCACAGACCCCCAGGAAGCACAGCAGGCCUACAACCAUGCCCAUGCCAGGACCAGGGCCAGAGUUGAAAUGACCUUUGGCCUCCUGAAGGCACGCUUUCACUGCCUUCACAAAUUAAGGGUCAGCCCUGUUAGGGCAUGUGAUAUUACUGUGGCUUGUGCUGUCCUCCACAAUGUGGCCUGCCUGAGGAAGGAGAGGGCCCCCAGAGUGCCACCAGCCAUGGACUGGGACAAUCCGGCAAUCUUCCCUGAUGACGAC
rnacentral:lncRNA from 1 species